rnacentral:rRNA from 1 species
CGUAGGGCGCAAGCGUUAUCCGGAAUUAUUGGGCGUAAAGAGCUCGUAGGCGGUUUGUCGCGUCUGCUGUGAAAUCCCGAGGCUCAACCUCGGGUCUGCAGUGGGUACGGGCAGACUAGAGUGCGGUAGGGGAGAUUGGAAUUCCUGGUGUAGCGGUGGAAUGCGCAGAUAUCAGGAGGAACACCGAUGGCGAAGGCAGAUCUCUGGGCCGUUACUGACGCUGAGGAGCGAAAGGGUGGGAGCAAACAGGCUU